UAGCAUAUCAAUAAGCGGAGGAAAAGAAACUAACAAGGAUUCCCCUAGUAACUGCGAGUGAAGCGGGAAAAGCUCAAAUUUAAAAUCUGGCAGUCUUUGGCUGUCCGAGUUGUAAUCUAGAGAAGUGUUAUCCGCGCUGGACCGUGUACAAGUCUCCUGGAAUGGAGCGUCAUAGAGGGUGAGAAUCCCGUCUUUGACACGGACUACCAGGGCUUUGUGAUGCGCUCUCAAAGAGUCGAGUUGUUUGGGAAUGCAGCUCAAAAUGGGUGGUAAAUUCCAUCUAAAGCUAAAUAUUGGCGAGAGACCGAUAGCGAACAAGUACCGUGAGGGAAAGAUGAAAAGAACUUUGGAAAGAGAGUUAAACAGUACGUGAAAUUGCUGAAAGGGAAACGCUUGAAGUCAGUCGCGUCGUCCAGGGAUCAACCUUGCUUUUGCUUGGUGCACUUUCUGGUUGACGGGUCAGCAUCAAUUUUGACCAUUGGAAAAAUAUCAAGGGAAUGUGACAUCUUUGGAUGUGUUAUAGCCCUUGGUUGUAUACGAUGGUUGGGAUUGAGGAACUCAGCACGCCGCAAGGCCGGGUUUUUAACCACGUACGUGCUUAGGAUGCUGGCAUAAUGGCUUUAAUCGACCCGUCUUGAAACACGGACCAAGGAGUCUAACAUGCCUGCGAGUGUUUGGGUGGAAAACUCGAGCGCGUAAUGAAAGUGAAAGUUGAGAUCCCUGUCGUGGGGAGCAUCGACGCCCGGACCAGACCUUUUGUGACGGUUCCGCGGUAGAGCAUGUAUGUUGGGACCCGAAAGAUGGUGAACUAUGCCUGAAUAGGGUGAAGCCAGAGGAAACUCUGGUGGAGGCUCGUAGCGAUUCUGACGUGCAAAUCGAUCGUCAAAUUUGGGUAUAGGGGCGAAAGACUAAUCGAACCAUCUAGUAACUGGUUCCUGCCGA
rnacentral:rRNA from 1 species